UACGGGGGGAGCAAGCGUUGUUCGGAUUUACUGGGCGUAAAGGGCGCGUAGGCGGCCAGCACAAGUCAGUUGUGAAAUCUCCGAGCUUAACUCGGAAAGGUCAACUGAUACUGUGCGGCUAGAGUGCGGAAGGGGCAACUGGAAUUCUUGGUGUAGCGGUGAAAUGCGUAGAUAUCAAGAGGAACACCUGAGGUGAAGACGGGUUGCUGGGCUGACACUGACGCUGAGGCGCGAAAGCCAGGGGAGCAAACGGG
rnacentral:rRNA from 1 species